UUUCCGUAGGUGAACCUGCGGAAGGAUCAUUGUCGAAACCUGCAAGGCAGCACGACCCGCGAAUCUGUAAAAAACCAACGCGGUCGGCGGGCCUCCUGGGCCGUCGUCCGGAGUCCCGGGCCGGGUGCGCGGUGCAAAUCCGCCUCCCGUGCCCGGGCGCAAACAACAAACCCGGGCGCGAAUUGCGCCAAGGAAAAGGAAAAAAGAUGUGCGCUCCCCUUGUGUCCCGGAAACGGUGCCACGGGGUUGCGUCGUCGUUAUCGUAUUCGAAACGACUCUCGGCAACGGAUAUCUAGGCUCUCGCAUCGAUGAAGAACGUAGCGAAAUGCGAUACUUGGUGUGAAUUGCAGAAUCCCGUGAACCAUCGAGUUUUUGAACGCAAGUUGCGCCCGAAGCCGUCAGGCCGAGGGCACGCCUGCCUGGGUGUCACGCAACGUCGCCAAAAAUCAACUCGCCCCUUCGAAACGAAACGGGCGCGGCGAUGGCCGGCGGAUAUUGGCCUCCCGUGCGCGCACGCUCGCGGUUGGCCCAAAAGGAAGCCCCCGACGCGGCAGCCACGACACGCGGUGGUUGGUAGCAAACGCUCGACGAACACCGUCGUGGGCGAGCCCGGUCGAUUGGGAGCCGAAGACCCCGACGCGAAGCGUCCUCACAAAGCGACCCCAGGUCAGGCGGGAACACCCGCUGAGUUUAAG
rnacentral:rRNA from 1 species